UAAACUACACGACUUAUCAAUUUUAAUAAAAAUAAUGACCGAUGAUUCGAUAUAAAGAGCGUUCGCCCAGAAGUUGAUUCACAACAAAACUAGUUUGAUGAUCUGAGAAACCAGAUUACUCAAGAUGAAUUUCAAAUUUCUUGCCUUACUGCUUCUUAUUGCCCCUGUUGACAAUCGAUAGUGGCGAUGCUUGGGGACGUCGUAGAAGAAGAGGUAGAAGAGGAGGUUGGUUCCGCAGAGUAGUCCGGGGGUGGGACGAUUUGUUAAAAAAGGGAUCAACUUUUACAAAAAAAAAACAAGUCUGUUAUUCAUAAAGUAGGAGGCGCCAUUUUUAAACUGUUUGGAGACAACGAAGCUUUGGAAAAUUUGGCAACUUUGAAAAAUCAGGAUCUCGAAUCGUAUGGAGAUUUCAUGGACAACCUAAAAUCUGCUUUGGAAGAAAAUUAUCCCGAUCAAGACAGUGAAGAUAUAAUGCAAAUGAUAGACGAUGUUGCUGAUAUGAAGAAAGGCAAG